CAUAUUCAACUGUUUCUCAUUCACACAAUGAUCACUGACAAGUUUUGUAUUAAACACUUGAACAAUAUCUGAUACAGCCACAAGAUGUCAGUAGUGCAAUUAAUGGCGCGACUGUUGUCGUUUGUUUGACCUGUAUGAAGUUUUUAUUUACUGCUAGCUUUCUUUAAAACAGAUCAGGACGCAGUGUCUGUUUUGCUAUUUUUUUUUUUAAAGAAAAAAAGUUCCGAAACCUCACUCUGCAAGGUUUCGGAACUUAAUGGCCAUGACGGUUGAGUUCUCAGUUUGGUUUUGAGCCCAGACAAUGCAACUGUAGCAACUGUUGCUGGAGAUGAAACUAUUCGUCUAUGGAAGUCCUUCGAAAUGGAUCCUGUAAAGAAGGCCAAGGAGAGGCUGGUCAAUUCGGCUAGCAGCGUCAUUCAUCAGUCAAUCAGAUAACUUCCCUUGUUUGUUCUUUUAUGUCAUAGAUCCAUGACUGGCCGCAGUCUGGGUGGUGAGAACAAAAGCAAAAGGAUACAGGCUCCAGUUUACUAUAACAUCAUCUUGGUUUAGGGGGAUUCUGAUUUUCCAGAGCUGAUUGAAGUGUCUCUCACAACCUCUCUGGACCAGGAAACAUCAGCUCCGGUUGGAAUUAAAGACGUCUGAAGACAGAUGGUUUCAAGCGGCAAAGUUCUUCCUUGAACCUGCAGCAAAGGGGGAAAUGACUGGUUCCUACUAUGAGGAUCUCUGAGCCGAUCUCCAGCCCCCAUCGGCUGAGCUCCUUCACACUUUCAGGAUUGGAGCUGAUGUU